rnacentral:ncRNA from 1 species
UUUAGGGGUGCCACAAUAAACGGCUGAGAUCAUACCCUUUGAACCUGAACCGGGUAAUGCCGGCGGAGGGACAAAU